UACGUAGGUGGCUAGCGUUGUCCGGAUUUACUGGGCGUAAAGAGCGCGCAGGCGGUCGUUCAAGUCGAGUGUGAAAGCCCCCGGCUCAACUGGGGAGGGUCACUCGAUACUGAUCGACUCGAAGGCAGAAGAGGGAAGCGGAAUUCCCGGUGUAGUGGUGAAAUGCGUAGAUAUCGGGAGGAACACCAGUGGCGAAGGCGGCUUUCUGGUCUGCUCUUGACGCUGAGGCGCGAAAGCUAGGGGAGCAAACGGG
rnacentral:rRNA from 1 species